rnacentral:rRNA from 1 species
ACUUCGGUCUGGUGGCGAGUGGCGAACGGGUGAGUAACAUAUCGGAACGUAUCCAAUAAUGGGGGAUAACUAAUCGAAAGGUUGGCUAAUACCGCAUACGCCCUACGGGGGAAAGCUAGGGACCUUCGGGCCUGGCGUUAAUGGAGCGGCCGAUAUCUGAUUAGCUAGUUGGUGGGGUAAAGGCCCACCAAGGCGACGAUCAGUAGCUGGUCUGAGAGGACGACCAGCCACUCUGGAACUGAGACACGGUCCAGACUCCUACGGGAGGCAGCAGUGGGGAAUUUUGGACAAUGGGCGCAAGCCUGAUCCAGCCAUUCCGCGUGAGUGAAGAAGGCCUUCGGGUUGUAAAGCUCUUUCGCAAGGGAAGAAAACUUAGUCUCUAACAUAGACUGAGGUUGACGGUACCUUGAUAAGAAGCACCGGCUAACUACGUGCCAGCAGCCGCGGUAAUA